UGGGGAAUUUUGGACAAUGGGCGCAAGCCUGAUCCAGCCAUGCCGCGUGAGUGAAGAAGGCCUUCGGGUUGUAAAGCUCUUUUAGCCGGAAAGAAAGAGUUGCAAUGAAUACUUGUGAUUUAUGACGGUACCGACAGAAAAAGCACCGGCUAACUACGUGCCAGCAGCCGCGGUAAUACGUAGGGUCCGAGCGUUAAUCGGAAUUACUGGGCGUAAAGGGUGCGCAGGCGGUCUUGCAAGUCAGAUGUGAAAGCCCCGGGCUUAACCUGGGAAUUGCGUUUGAAACUACAAGACUAGAGUGCAGCAGAGGGGAGUGGAAUUCCAUGUGUAGCAGUGAAAUGCGUAGAGAUGUGGAAGAACACCGAUGGCGAAGGCAGCUCCCUGGGUUGACACUGACGCUCAUGCACGAAAGCGUGGGGAGCAAACA
rnacentral:rRNA from 1 species